UGAGUAUGAGAUGCUACGGCAUCGAAGCAGUCUAUGUCAUACUUCCAAGAAAAGCUUGCACUGUCAUAAACAAAGAAUGCCUGUACCAUAACCGACACAGGUGGGUAGGUAGAGUAUACUAAGGGGCGCGAGAUAACUCUCUCUAAGGAACUCGGCAAAAUGACUCCGUAACUUCGGGAGAAGGAGUGCCUUAUUUCUAAGGUUGCAAUAACAAGAUCCAAGCAACUGUUUACCAAAAACACAGGUCUCCGCUAAGUCGUAAGACGAUGUAUGGGGGCUGACGCCUGCCCAGUGCCAGAAGGUUAAAGAAGUUGGUUAGCAUUAGCGAAGCUGAUAACUGAAGCCCUGGUGAACGGCGGCCGUAACGAUAACGGUCCUAAGGUAGCGAAAUUCCUUGUCGGGUAAGUUCCGACCCGCACGAAAGGCGUAAUGAUUUGGAUACUGUCUCGGAGAGGGGCUCGGUGAAAUAGACUUGUCUGUGAAGAUGCGGACUACCUGCACCUGGACAGAAAGACCCUAUGAAGCUUUACUGUAACUUGAGAUUGAAAUUGGACUUUAUUUGCGCAGUAUAGGUGGGAGGCGUUGAGAAUAAUCUUGCGGGAUUGUUGGAGCCAUCAGUGAGAUACCACUCUUGUAAUGUUAGAUUUCUAACUUUGUAUCAUUAUCUGGUCAAAGAACAGUUUCAGGCGGGCAGUUUGACUGGGGCGGUCGCCUCCCAAAGGGUAACGGAGGCGCACAAAGGUUUCCUCUGAACGGGUAGAAAUCGUAUCUAGAGUGUAAAGGCAUAAGGAAGCUUGACUGUGAGACCUACAAGUCGAGCAGGGACGAAAGUCGGUCUUAGUGAUCUGACGGUGCUGAGUGGAAAGGCCGUCACUCAACGGAUAAAAGUUACUCUAAGGAUAACAGGCUGAUCUCCCCCAAGAGUUCACAUCGACGGGGAGGUUUGGCACCUCGAUGUCGGCUCAUCGCAUCCUGGGGCGGUAGUCCGUCCCAAGGGUUGGGCUGUUCGCCCAUGAAAGCGGUACGCGAGCUGGGUUCAGAACGUCGUGAGACAGUUCGGUCCAUAUCCGGUGUAGGCGUUAGAAUAUUGAGAGGAGCCUUCUCUAGUACGAGAGGACCGAGAAGGACAUACCUCUGGUGUACCAGUUAUCGUGCCAACGGUAAACGCUGGGUAGCUAUGUAUGGAGUGGAUAACCGCUGAAAGCAUCUAAGUGGGAAGCCCACCUCAAGAUAAGUAUUCU
rnacentral:rRNA from 1 species